UACAGAGGUCUCAAGCGUUGUUCGGAUUCAUUGGGCGUAAAGGGUGCGUAGGCGGCGCGGUAAGUCGGGGUGUGAAAUCUUGGAGCUUAACUCCGAAACUGCAUUCGAUACUGCCGUGCUUGAGGACUGGAGAGGAGACUGGAAUUUACGGUGUAGCGGUGAAAUGCGUAGAUAUCGUAAGGAAGACCAGUGGCGAAGGCGGGUCUCGUGGACAGUUCCUGACGCUGAGGCACGAAGGCCAGGGGAGCAAAACGGGG
rnacentral:rRNA from 1 species